rnacentral:rRNA from 1 species
GGGUUGUGAGGUUAAGCGACUAAGCGUACACGGUGGAUGCCCUGGCAGUCAGAGGCGAUGAAGGGCGUGCUAAUCUGCGAUAAGCGCCGGUAAGGUGAUAUGAACCGUUAUAACCGGCGAUACCCGAAUGGGGAAACCCAGUGUGAUUCGUCACACUAUCAUUAACUGAAUCCAUAGGUUAAUGAGGCGAACCGGGGGAACUGAAACAUCUAAGUACCCCGAGGAAAAGAAAUCAACCGAGAUUCCCCCAGUAGCGGCGAGCGAACGGGGAGGAGCCCAGAGCCUGAAUCAGCAUGUGUGUUAGUGGAAGCGUCUGGAAAGGCGCGCGAUACAGGGUGACAGCCCCGUACACAAAAGCGCAUGUGCUGUGAGCUCGAUGAGUAGGGCGGGACACGUGGUAUCCUGUCUGAAUAUGGGGGGACCAUCCUCCAAGGCUAAAUACUCCUGACUGACCGAUAGUGAACCAGUACCGUGAGGGAAAGGCGAAAAGAACCCCGGCGAGGGGAGUGAAAAAGAACCUGAAACCGUGUACGUACAAGCAGUGGGAGCACCCUUUUGGGUGUGACUGCGUACCUUUUGUAUAAUGGGUCAGCGACUUAUAUUCUGUAGCAAGGUUAACCGCAUAGGGGAGCCGGAGGGAAACCGAGUCUUAAC